AUUGAACGCUGGCGGCAGGCCUAACACAUGCAAGUCGAGCGAGCGGCGGACGGGUGAGUAAUGUCUGGGAAACUGCCUGAUGGAGGGGGAUAACUACUGGAAACGGUAGCUAAUACCGCAUACCAUCAGAUGUGCGCAGAUGGGAUUAGCUAGUAGGUGGGGUGACGGCUCACCUAGGCGACGAUCCCUAGCUGGUCUGAGAGGAUGACCCGCCACACUGGAACUGAGACACGGUCCAGACUCCCACGGGAGGCAGCAGUGGGGAAUAUUGCACAAUGGGCGCAAGCCUGAUGCAGUCAUGCCGCGUGUGUGAAGAAGGCCUGCGGGUUGUAAAGCACUUUCAGCGGGGAGGCGUUACCCGCAGAAGAAGCACCGGCUAACUCCGUGCCAGCAGCCGCGGUAAUUC
rnacentral:rRNA from 1 species